UCGCAUGCAACACUGUGUGUGAACAAGAGAGUGAAUGCGUAUGUGUGCGUGCGAGUGUGUGAGUUUGUGUGUGUGAAGAGAACGAAAUGCCAAUCAGUUGGUGCCGAGUUUUUGCUUCGUAUGCAGGUGGGCUGCGCUUCGCGCUAAAAUCGUAUAAGAAUCGCCACUUAAACAAUAUAAAAAAAUUCCAAUAGCCGAAAGCGAAGGCACUUGAUAAUAUAAAUCGCGGCGCAUGCUACGCCCACGCGUUCAAGUUCAGUGCAAGCGAGAAAACAACCAGCAAAAGCCAAAAGCACGGCGACAACAAGGCUAAAAAUGUGAAAAGAGAAAACGCCUCAACAAAAACAAAAACCACAAGAAUAUCAACAAUAGCAACAACAAAUAUCAAGAAAUAACAAGCAACAAAAGCGUUUCAAGCAGUCAACGUGCCACAAGUCAAAUCAAAUCGGAGACGCCUCACGUGCUCGUUGCAUUUUGGCCACGUGGCCGUGUCCAAUGGCCCAGUCGGGAGCAGAUGCCACAGCGACAA
rnacentral:sRNA from 1 species